GUUUCCACUUAGCGGAGGACUGGGGGGGAUCCAGACACUGACAACGGGAAAGGGAGAAUGUAGAAACAAAUGGAAAGAGAGAAGAAGAUGAAAAAAUCGGUGCUUUCUGCUGUCUUUGAAAUAAAACACGUGGUUUUCAAAAUGGUGACCUUUUCCAAACGGCCUUCAGAAAAGUGGGUCAUUUUGUUCCUCAGAAGCCGUGCUUGACAAGUGUGACUGGAGAAAGUGCCAUGGAGGACAGCCAUGGCUUUGGGGACAGGUCCAGCAGCGCUCCCCACGUGUCCAUCACAUCCAUCUCCAGCUGCCAAGAAGGCUUUCUUCAGGCUUCCUUUAUGCAUGCCUCUCCUCCAGAGCUCAGUGUGGAAAUGAUAUAUGCAGCUCGUUCACCUGCCAAACCACGGCUCUCUCAAAAUAUCAGCAGAAUGAGAGCGGGCCUUGCAGCGUAUGAUUUGCCCAAGACCACACAGGAAGUCUGUGGCCAAGCUGGAAAUCAAGCCCAUCACUCCCGGCUCUGGGGCUGUGGCCCCGCUGCAGGCUCGGGGCCAUCCUGGGACCCGUCCCCAGGCAGACAGCGAGGUAUGG
ensembl:lncRNA